rnacentral:misc_RNA from 1 species
UACGGAGGGGGCUAGCGUUGUUCGGAAUUACUGGGCGUAAAGGGCGUGUAGGCGGUCGAACGAGUUAGGCGUGAAAGGCCUGGGCUCAACCCAGGAACUGCGCUUAAUACUGGUCGACUCGAGAACGGGAGAGGUGAGUGGAAUUCCCAGUGUAGAGGUGAAAUUCGUAGAUAUUGGGAAGAACACCAGUGGCGAAGGCGGCUCACUGGCCCGAUUCUGACGCUGAGACGCGAAAGCGUGGGGAGCAAACAGG